rnacentral:lncRNA from 1 species
AAUAGAGGUGUUUUCAAAUGUUGAAGGACUUUUGCCUCUUUUAUCAUUUUCAUCAUCUCAACAAAAGAAAAAAAAACUUUCCAAUCCCAUUUUAUCUCCAUUACUUUCUACACCAAAAUUGGGUCCCACAACCCGGUUGUUUGUCUAGAGGAUAGCAGUUGAGUACUAGUGGUGGUCUCGGUUAGAAUUGGUAAGAAGAUAUC